rnacentral:misc_RNA from 1 species
UGACAGCUUCAUUGUAAUUAUCGAUAUUUGAUAGGCUCAGUGCAACGCUGGGGUUUUGUGAUGUCGUAAGGGUGAACCACCUUGAGAUCAUGUUGGAUAUGAAGAACAUCAGCCAAGAAAUACAAUCUCAGAUUAUUAUCUAUGGGAUGUGGUAUACUAUUUCUGGUCUCUAUUCCGGCCUGCGCUUGUGCUAAACGAUGCCCAUAAUGCACGACUCGCAGCACCCAUGACACAUGUGAUGCAUGCUACCAUCAGUCCACAAGACCAAGCUAUCUCGAUCAGUUCUAGUAUAGGUUUAAUCACUGUCCCAUCGACUGAGUCGCCUGUAAAGAAAUGAGCAACGAUUUGUUUCCAUGGUGAUACAAAUGAGUGCCCCUGUGAGAGACAAAUCUGUGAACCAUCAAGAGUGAACCCCCUUGUCGAACGAAAUCACCACACUACAUCUAUGACCUUACUGACAGUCACUCAAUGAAACCGGUGACCAAAAUUACAAGUUUUUUCCUCUAAAAUUAUGUACUCGAAGACCUAACAAUAAGACGAUCUUUCGAGAGUGGGAAUUUACAAAUUGCAACGGGAUUUUAAAUGGCUUGAACUACUAAUGUUCACUAAUAUCCACCACAAGACAAC